GCAGAUAGGUAUGGAGGAGUUGAUGGUCUGUUCAACAUGCUGACAGUCACAAACAAUUUCUUCGAUCAGGAUUUCAAUGAUCUCCUGUAGAUGAUCUGCAAGUUUCCAGUUCAGGCCAGCAUAUGAUGACAAUGGUGGUCGAAUGUUUGUUUCCUUUUUCAAUUAUUAAGAACUUGUUUUUAUCAAUCAGCUUCCAAUAAUGAGCCCGUUGAGGUGUGACGGGCUGAAACUUCAUUUAGUUUGUUUGAGUUGUAUUUGCUUAUGUUUAUGAACUAUAUGCUUGAAAAUUUUAAGAUCUUGUUUUUAAAUAAUCUUUUAAUAUUUUGUCAUCAAAUUUGUUAUCUGCUUAUUGGUGU
rnacentral:lncRNA from 1 species